CAAACGGCCCUCUUUAGGGCCACAAUUGCCAAAUUGGACGAAAGUG
rfam:Globodera pallida, Lindley, WGS project CBXT01000000 data, contig: pathogens_Gpal_scaffold_3534_contig_1